ensembl:snRNA
GUGUUGUAUGAAGGAGAGAAAGUUAGUACUCCCCUUUACACUGAUGGAAGAGGCCCCACGGAUGCCAACACAGUAUGGUUAAGGGAUUACUUUGUGGCAUCUAGUUAUCAUUUAGC